GAUAUCUGUGUAGAUGUGCAGCUGACCUAGAGUGCCACCAGCAAAGCAUGGAACAACUCUGGAAGGCAAAGAGGGUUAAAUGUUGGCAGAGCUGUCAGCACAGAGCCCAAUGCAGGGCUCGAACCCACAGUGUGAGAUCAUGACCCGAGCCAAAGACGGACACUUAACCGACUGAGCCACCCAGGCACCCUGGUAAUAAAGCCUUCAUACAAACCCAAAAGGACAUGAUUUGGAGAACUUCCAGGCAGGUGAACAAGAGUACCCCACUGCACCCCAAACUCCCUGGUGACAGCAGCUCUGUGCUCAAUACCCUUCUGGACCUCA